rfam:Glycine soja cultivar W05 scaffold2787_28, whole genome shotgun sequence.
AACAUAAAGAAACAUUGAGGCAGCUAGUGAGGUUCUAACUGAGGCGCGUCUAUUGCCGGUUGAAAACUAUUUCCAAACCUCCUCUUAGGCAUGUUUUUGUGGACCAUGCCACGCACGGUUUAAAUAUUUUUGAACUGCUUUGUGGAAC